GGAUGUGUGGGUACUCAACCUGUGCCAUCUGUCACUCAUUGAUUGCAUGACUUUAUUCACAUAAUAUGGUUGGCUAGGUAUGUGUCCCCUUUAUCCCUUACUGCUCAAUUAGUGUCCCUCCCUGAAGCAGCACCCCGUAUCCAAGAGGGCUAUCUUCCCAAAUAGAGUAGGACUGAUUUUCUGUCAAUGGUAUAAAGGUGACUGCACUCCUGUGCUAGAAACUCCAAAAAGCUCUCAAAGAUUUAGGAAAUACCAUUAUAGGUAAAAUAAGAAGUUAAUGAGAAAGCCAUUAGGUAGAACCUGUUUGA
ensembl:misc_RNA 7SK 7SK RNA